GGCUUAAUUUGACUCAACGCGGGAAAUCUUACCGGGUCCGGACACACUGAGGAUUGACAGAUAUAUACCCCGUGAUUUUAUCGCGGGGUUGAAAGAUGCUAGUUCUUUCAUGAUUAUGUGAUAGGUGGUGCAUGGCCGUUCUUAGUUCGUGGAGUGAUCUGUCUGCUUAAUUGCGUAUCAAUAAUAGAGACCUAGUAUACGCGUAGACUCAUGCGGUAGUGACCCCCCUUCACAGGGCGCGUGUCGCACGUAUGUUAUACGCACAGGUCUCCGAUAGCAACGAACGUGACCGUACUCUAUUGUUGCAGCGACAAUACCUUUCAACGGGUAUUACCGCUGCUUAGCAAGAUUCGUCUUGCAUUAAACUAUAGAGACCGCUGUUUCUUCUUUAAACCAGAGGAAGGAUACGGCAAUAACAGGUCUGUGAUGCCCUCAGAUGUUCCGGGCUGCACACGUGCUACAAUGAUCAUUGCACUGUGCAUCUAACCCAAUGUGCGCGGACGCC
rnacentral:rRNA from 1 species